GAUCUACCCUUGGGCAGGUUGAAGCUGUGGUAACACAUAGUGGAGGACCGAACCCGUUGACGUUGAAAAGUCUUGGGAUGACCUGAGGGUAGGGGUGAAAGGCCAAUCAA
rnacentral:ncRNA from 1 species